UAUCACCACAGCAAGAUACUUCUCAAGCAUCUUUAACUACAUUAUCUCCAAGAGUUUUUGUUUUCUUGUCAGAAUGAGAAAUCUGGACUUCUUCUGACAAGCUCUUUGUGGGAGCAGCUCUACGUGAGCCUGUGCUGGGAGCCUCCUGCAGGUGAAUGCCAGGGAUUGAACUCGGGACCUGAUACAGGCUCGGCACAUGCUCCACCACCGGGUCCUGGCCUGCCCCUGACUACUAUGACAGGGAGACCCAAGCACUGCCUAGCCCGUGUCACAGCCUGGCAACCGUAAGCUUGGUGAAGAUGGGCAGGUGCCAGCCCCCAUACCACAGGGCUUUCCCCUCAGCGGCCCCUGAACUGCCUUAAACUUCUGGGCCACAGGUUUCCUGCUUCCAAAAUUUAAUUACUCUUUUGCAGCAGUAAUUAAAUUUUCGGCACCACUGGCAGUUGUCCAAACUUUAGAAAAAUAAACACCCCCUUUCCCGUC